AUCAGAAGGGAAGAAACAAGAGGAAAGUGAAGGAUUGAAGAUGAAGGAACAAGGAUGAUUGAUGGAGUGAAGUCCCAGAGGACGGAAGGAUGAAAGGCAUCAAGAUAACAAGUGGAACAAUUAUUUUACAAAAAGACAAAAUAAUUCCUCCUCUGAGACAGGACUAAAGGAGGAAAGUAUAGGUACUGACCCAGAGAAAAUCGGGGGCAAAGAGGAAGAUAAUUAAAGUGGCCGCUCCCCUGAAUCUCAUGGAAAUGCACUCAGGGUUUGGUUGUCUCCAGUCUAGGCAGGAGGAGAUAUUAUUGGCUUGUAGAACUGUGGGUUUGUUGUGAAUUAUAAUUAAGUCAUGUCAGCAUGAGGCUGUAAUUUCUAUUACUACAUAAGGCAAUAGUUUUGCUACUGAGACCUAAUGACCAGGUCCAGGCUGGGAAGUUCUGCUGGGAUAGCACUGGGGAAGUCCUUCCUGACCUGCAUUUGCAUUGCCGGGCUCAGCAUUCUCCAUUUAUGCCUGUUCUGCUUUGACUUUCCAGAUGAACCUCUAGGGAGAGGGAGAAGUGUGUGCUCGUCUGACCAGGAACCCAGCAUCACAGCCCAGGGAAGGUGAUGUUCCUCUGUGUGACAGAAAGAACACAGGACAACUAGCUGGCCCAAUGCAUUGAUGACAUCAUGCUGACUGAACCUUACUAGAUGUCCUACUAAGACACAUGCAGCAGCUUUGGGGAGACAAAUCAGAUCAUCAGGAGUACUUUCUGGGUCUUCCUGAGAAAAAUCUCCUGGAAAAUGGAAAUACCUACAUUAAUACGUAUUAA